UACGUAGGGGGCAAGCGUUAUCCGGAUUUACUGGGUGUAAAGGGAGCGUAGACGGCUUUGCAAGCCAGAUGUGAAAGCCCGGGGCUCAACCCCGGGACUGCAUUUGGAACUGUGUGGCUAGAGUGUCGGAGAGGCAGGCGGAAUUCCUAGUGUAGCGGUGAAAUGCGUAGAUAUUAGGAGGAACACCAGUGGCGAAGGCGGCCUGCUGGACGAUGAAUGACGUUGAGGCUCGAAAGCGUGGGGAGCAAACAGG
rnacentral:rRNA from 1 species